AGCGUACACGGUGGAUGCCCUGGCAGUCAGAGGCGAUGAAGGACGUGCUAAUCUGCGAUAAGCGUCGGUAAGGUGAUAUGAACCGUUAUAACCGGCGAUUUCCGAAUGGGGAAACCCAGUGUGAUUCGUCACACUAUCAUUAACUGAAUCCAUAGGUUAAUGAGGCGAACCGGGGGAACUGAAACAUCUAAGUACCCCGAGGAAAAGAAAUCAACCGAGAUUCCCCCAGUAGCGGCGAGCGAACGGGGAGCAGCCCAGAGCCUGAAUCAGUGUGUGUGUUAGUGGAAGCGUCUGGAAAGGCGUGCGAUACAGGGUGACAGCCCCGUACACAAAAAUGCACAUAUUGUGAGCUCGAUGAGUAGGGCGGGACACGUGGUAUCCUGUCUGAAUAUGGGGGGACCAUCCUCCAAGGCUAAAUACUCCUGACUGACCGAUAGUGAACCAGUACCGUGAGGGAAAGGCGAAAAGAACCCCGGCGAGGGGAGUGAAAAAGAACCUGAAACCGUGUACGUACAAGCAGUGGGAGCACGCUUAGGCGUGUGACUGCGUACCUUUUGUAUAAUGGGUCAGCGACUUAUAUUCUGUAGCAAGGUUAACCGAAUAGGGGAGCCGAAGGGAAACCGAGUCUUAACUGGGCGUUAAGUUGCAGGGUAUAGACCCGAAACCCGGUGAUCUAGCCAUGGGCAGGUUGAAGGUUGGGUAACACUAACUGGAGGACCGAACCGACUAAUGUUGAAAAAUUAGCGGAUGACUUGUGGCUGGGGGUGAAAGGCCAAUCAAACCGGGAGAUAGCUGGUUCUCCCCGAAAGCUAUUUAGGUAGCGCCUCGUGAAUUCAUCUCCGGGGGUAGAGCACUGUUUCGGCAAGGGGGUCAUCCCGACUUACCAACCCGAUGCAAACUGCGAAUACCGGAGAAUGUUAUCACGGGAGACACACGGCGGGUGCUAACGUCCGUCGUGAAGAGGGAAACAACCCAGACCGCCAGCUAAGGUCCCAAAGUCAUGGUUAAGUGGGAAACGAUGUGGGAAGGCCCAGACAGCCAGGAUGUUGGCUUAGAAGCAGCCAUCAUUUAAAGAAAGCGUAAUAGCUCACUGGUCGAGUCGGCCUGCGCGGAAGAUGUAACGGGGCUAAACCAUGCACCGAAGCUGCGGCAGCGACACUAUGUGUUGUUGGGUAGGGGAGCGUUCUGUAAGCCUGCGAAGGUGUGCUGUGAGGCAUGCUGGAGGUAUCAGAAGUGCGAAUGCUGACAUAAGUAACGAUAAAGCGGGUGAAAAGCCCGCUCGCCGGAAGACCAAGGGUUCCUGUCCAACGUUAAUCGGGGCAGGGUGAGUCGACCCCUAAGGCGAGGCCGAAAGGCGUAGUCGAUGGGAAACAGGUUAAUAUUCCUGUACUUGGUGUUACUGCGAAGGGGGGACGGAGAAGGCUAUGUUGGCCGGGCGACGGUUGUCCCGGUUUAAGCGUGUAGGCUGGUUUUCCAGGCAAAUCCGGAAAAUCAAGGUUGAGGCGUGAUGACGAGGCACUACGGUGCUGAAGCAACAAAUGCCCUGCUUCCAGGAAAAGCCUCUAAGCAUCAGGUAACAUCAAAUCGUACCCCAAACCGACACAGGUGGUCAGGUAGAGAAUACCAAGGCGCUUGAGAGAACUCGGGUGAAGGAACUAGGCAAAAUGGUGCCGUAACUUCGGGAGAAGGCACGCUGAUAUGUAGGUGAAGUCCCUCGCGGAUGGAGCUGAAAUCAGUCGAAGAUACCAGCUGGCUGCAACUGUUUAUUAAAAACACAGCACUGUGCAAACACGAAAGUGGACGUAUACGGUGUGACGCCUGCCCGGUGCCGGAAGGUUAAUUGAUGGGGUUAGCGCAAGCGAAGCUCUUGAUCGAAGCCCCGGUAAACGGCGGCCGUAACUAUAACGGUCCUAAGGUAGCGAAAUUCCUUGUCGGGUAAGUUCCGACCUGCACGAAUGGCGUAAUGAUGGCCAGGCUGUCUCCACCCGAGACUCAGUGAAAUUGAACUCGCUGUGAAGAUGCAGUGUACCCGCGGCAAGACGGAAAGACCCCGUGAACCUUUACUAUAGCUUGACACUGAACAUUGAGCCUUGAUGUGUAGGAUAGGUGGGAGGCUUGGAAGUGUGGACGCCAGUCUGCAUGGAGCCGACCUUGAAAUACCACCCUUUAAUGUUUGAUGUUCUAACGUUGACCCGUAAUCCGGGUUGCGGACAGUGUCUGGUGGGUAGUUUGACUGGGGCGGUCUCCUCCUAAAGAGUAACGGAGGAGCACGAAGGUUGGCUAAUCCUGGUCGGACAUCAGGAGGUUAGUGCAAUGGCAUAAGCCAGCUUGACUGCGAGCGUGACGGCGCGAGCAGGUGCGAAAGCAGGUCAUAGUGAUCCGGUGGUUCUGAAUGGAAGGGCCAUCGCUCAACGGAUAAAAGGUACUCCGGGGAUAACAGGCUGAUACCGCCCAAGAGUUCAUAUCGACGGCGGUGUUUGGCACCUCGAUGUCGGCUCAUCACAUCCUGGGGCUGAAGUAGGUCCCAAGGGUAUGGCUGUUCGCCAUUUAAAGUGGUACGCGAGCUGGGUUUAGAACGUCGUGAGACAGUUCGGUCCCUAUCUGCCGUGGGCGCUGGAGAAUUGAGGGGGGCUGCUCCUAGUACGAGAGGACCGGAGUGGACGCAUCACUGGUGUUCGGGUUGUCAUGCCAAUGGCACUGCCCGGUAGCUAAAUGCGGAAGAGAUAAGUGCUGAAAGCAUCUAAGCACGAAACUUGCCCCGAGAUGAGUUCUCCCUGACUCCUUGA
rnacentral:rRNA from 1 species